GGAACUCGAUGGCAUGAAAGAGCCAACCCCUUCCUACUUUCCUCUGCACUGAUUCUUCAAAGUUUUAAAAGACGGACUGGCUGGCCUGCACCUCACUUUGUAGACCAGGCUGGUCCGGGUGUUGUAGAAGCUGCUGCUCUCGCCUUGCCAGAGCUGGUAUCACAGAGAGGAGUCGCCAAGUCCGGGCAGAAAGGUCAGUGUUUUGCACAGGUACAUUUCUUAGAACAUGGCUGUAUCUUGUAAAGUAUAUGCAAAUAUGCGUUCUAAAAAAAUAUCUUGAAGCCAUGAUUUAGACGAGCAUCGUGUGAAGCAUCAGAUGUGGGACCGAAUGCAGAAGGUUAAACUCUAAAGCCUUGUUUCUGACAUCUGAUGCUGCGCCUGUCUGUUACGGCACAUGAAGACUGUUGAAGAAGCUGUAAUUCCUGGGCAGGAAGGUGGCUCGCUGAAUAAAUGCCUUUACCCAGCAAAUCGGAGGACCUGAGUUCUAUCCCCAGGACCUACAGGAAGGAAAGAGAGAACAGACCCCCUAACGUUACCCUCUCUGCGCAUGAGCUGUGGCACAUCCGCGUCCCUUCCCAAAUAAAUAAAUGACUUGGAGAGCUCAAGACAGGAUAAUGACCAGGAUGUGCCAGGAUGACUGAAGCCAGGAUGUGCUAGAGGAGGCCUGGCCUUGGUGGUCUUCCACUGACUCCCUGAAGAUGUCUUCUUGGAUCCUUGUUGAAGGAAGAAGAGGCAAUAAUGUUAUGGGGUCCAAAGACUCUUCUAAGCUGGACAGUGGUGGCACACAACUUUAAACCCAGCACUCGAGG
rnacentral:lncRNA from 1 species